UUGUAGUAAAUUAUUGUGAAAUUGGGCAAUUUUUUAUGUUAUCAAUUCUCUCCCUGUUUUUCAAAUAUUGCGUUUCUUCUUAUAAUUACAUAUGCUUUAAAUAUAUAGUUACAUGUAGGUUUUAGGAGUAUUGCUGUUGAAUAUGCAGAAGUUGUUUCUUUAUUUUUUAGAAUUUUGCUCGUUAUAUAAUAGCUAUGUGUAUUCAUUUUCAGAGCAGAUUGUUUUUUGGAAUUGGGUUUGAUUGCAUAUCGUUGUUGGGGAAAAAGGCUUCUCAAUAUAUAUCUGGUCAUGAUUGUAUUAUAAACUUUGUCUAGUGAGACAAGAAUUUGCUAACUUUCUCCCUAAUUAUAUAAACCGGAGACAAAAGAAACAAUUUUUUGGAUCUGGUCGUGAUUGUAUUGUAAAACAGGUCUCAGGUUUGUUCUCCUCUAUCGUCAAAGCUAUGUUUCUGCAUUGAUUUUGGAUCCUCCUGUUGUGUUAUUUUCCUUUUCCUUGUUCUCUUUCUGUGGAUAAACAUGGUGUUAUCUCUUUGACUUUUAUAUAAGAUAUGGACAGAACAACAAUCCUAAAAAUAUUUUGCUCGCAAAUUUGAUGGGCAAGAAUCAGCUAUAUAGUUUUUCAAAUAGAAAAUCUAGUUUAAUUUCUUUAAAUAUUUUCUGUCCCAUGUCUAUCUACUAUAACAAAGUGCCGAAGAUAGCUCGAAGCACUACUUCUCGUAUAUGUUGGGAACAUAAAGACUUAAUUCAUUAUGUCAAUCUCAGUUAGCUAUUCAAAUUUUACAAAUGAAAAAGAAAAGGGAAAUGGAGGACAAGAAUAAUUAAGAUUAUAAUUGUGUUAUUAAUUUUGGAUCUUUUAUCUAAAGCAACUGUAAUUGUGAUACUAGCAGUUGUUCUUUUUUAUGUUCAUGUUCCUGCUAAUGUGGUAAUUGUUUAGUAGAAGAAUUCUUUGGUGAUUUCGCUUUGCUGCUCUUAGGUUUUGGUUGCAAGGCAUUAGUUGGCUAUUUUCCAUUCUCACAAUCUACUUAUUUAUAAUCGACCUAUUUGAAAUCUGGGAACAAUAUAAUUUUGUCUUUGCUGCAAAAAAAAAAAAAAAAGUCUUUUUGUUCUAUUCAGUAAAAUGGUUUAGGUUGUGCUAUGCACUCGGAUGUUUGAGACAUCAUUGUGGUACUGUUAGAAAUGAUUGCUCUGUAUUUUUGGCUAAUUUCUGCACUUAUUGACAAUACCUAAAAGUUUUUGAAUUAGAAUACAUAUAAUGUUGUCAUUUCCAGCAGUUAAUUGUGACAAAUGUGCUGCAUCUUUUGGUGAUUCUAAGCAUCUGAGUUUCUCAAUACGAAGUUGAUAGUUUAUGUAGAAACAGAAAGAAUAUUUGUUAUGUCAUACAAACCUGAGAUAGCUAGAUUCUUAUCAAACUCCAACAACUUAGUUCCUUCUACAAUUAUUUAGUAUCAAAGUUCAUGAUAAAAAGUAGUUGCCCCGCGGCUUUGCAACAAGAUUUUGAAAAUAGACAGCACAAAAGUUGGACAUUUUUCAGAAUUAAGUUCUCAAUGCUGAAGAGUGACUUGGUCUGCUAUGAGGGAAAGAAGUGAAAAUCUAUGUGAAGUAAAAGAGGAAAGCUUGACAACUGCUACUAAGAACCUAACAUAAUAUUUUAUACAUUUGGUUACAAUAACAGUAGGCUACUGACCAUGGCUAAAUGAAAUAUCAUGGAGCUGAUUGUGGAAACAACAAUCUUGUCCCGAUUUAAUGGAAAGUCGUUUUAAUUGCAACAAAAAUUGUAAGAACUAAAAAUGAAAUAAAAGGUGAUCAUUACUGUUGACUAAUUAUAUAUUGUUGAUUCAGGAUUGAUUCUUUGAGGAUUAGAAAUGAAUAUUUAAGGGUGCAGAAGUUCUCUACCUGGCAAAGAUAAAAAUUAGGAAUAACACACAGUAUAUGAAUAACACAGAGUGCAAGUUGUGUUAGAUUAUAUUGACAUAAGUUAAUUGACAAUCCGAUAUAUUCAUAAAUUCUUAAUUGAUCUAUUAAAUUAAUUAAUUCAACUAUAUGAAUAUUCAUAGAUUCUUAAUUGUCAAGAUUCACUGUUAUUUUCUGUGCACAAUGAUCCACCUUCAUGCUUGUGUUGCUACUAUUCGCUCUUUGUACCAAUGGGCUGUUCGCGAAUGGAUAAUUGUUUCACUUUCACAGGCUCCUUGUACUAGUCAGGGGCUUCUUCAGGUUUAUUAUUCCAUCACUUUUGUGUGUCAUGAUAAUGUUGUAUUUUUUUUUCCUUCGUCUAACAUUUUUCAAGUAUGUUUGUUUACCUAUGUUCAUUUUCUUGUGCAUAUGCUCUUGCUAAGGGAUUGAUGCACUUUGCUUAGAGUGCAAAAUGAAUAUUUGGGUCUCUCUUUCCGCUACAAUAAAGGCGGACAAAAAUUAUUUUGUUGGAAAAACAUCACUAGUCUUUUAACAUUGCUGAGAAAGCCUUCUCAUCCUAGUUGUAGCAUUCCCAUUGCAAUAAAUUGCCUUGCAACUCUGUUGAAGGAACCUAUUGUUCGAUCUUCAUUUGUUCUACCUGACGGAGUGAAGCUGCUGUUGCUUUAAUAACACUAGCAUCUACUCAACAGUCCAUUCAGGUUGAGAUGAAUCCAUCAAAAUCUCAGAAGUUUGAAAUGGAAUCAACUUCGAAGUCUGUUAAGCAUUCAUACGUUACACCUGGCGCCUUAGCAAGGGGACGAGGGCAAAGCUUCAAAAUUUUGGGCUCGGUAAGAGUAAAUGCUGAAUAGAGACUCCCGAUUGGCAAAAGUAAAAAUCGUAAUGCAGCAGUUUCUUAUCUGAACGAGCUAGCUCAGAAUAAAAGUCUUGCACCUCCUGGUUUUGAUCCAGUUGAAGAUGAUGUUUCCCUCCCGCAAGAAGUUGAAGUGAUGCAAGACACUCAGAGAAACGAAAUAAGUCCAUGUGAAUCUGAAAAGGCAAAAAAAGUGAGAGGAAAGAACAGGUGUAAAAAUGUUCUUGGACUCAAAGUUGGAGAAAAGUUGAGCGUCACUUUCUACCACAAUUGAGUUGUUGGGAAGAAUUCAACCUCAUUUGUGAGACACUUAGGUAUAUUAGUUCGUGACCGUAAUAUGUGCCCAUUGCGGGUACACUCAUGGGCAGACAUCGAAGAAUAUAAGCUGGACUAUAUGUGGGAAGCUGUUACUGACAAAUUUGAUCGUGCUGACAUAAAUGGUUAAAGAGAUAAUGUCUUGAAACAUAUGAGAAGGUUAUGGAACAAUUGGAGAGGAACGCUGCACAUGAUUGUGAAGUCUAAGCCAUUGCGCGAUGUUCUAAAGGAUGUGUCAGAGGGGGUCGACAAGAGUGAUUGGGAAUGGUUGGUCAAGGAGCACUUCUUAUCUGAAAAGUUUAAUGUAUGACUUCAUAAAUAUUUAUAGCAUCUUAUUUUUUUAAGCGGUAGACUACACCUUCUAUUUUUUUUGUUGUUAUAGGAAAGAAGUACGAGAAACUAAGUGAAUAGGUCUAAGUUGAUUAUGCCUCAUCGUACGGGUAGCAAGCCUAUCAGUGAGAUUAUUUAUGAGCUGGUAAGUAAAUCGUGCUAUUGUAUUAAGAAACCCCCUCUUUGAUUAAAAGAAAUUGUUUGACUUGUUUAUUUAAAUGCAAAGGGAGGCAAAGGUGGUAAUCCACCAGAUAUGGCGACUAUUUUCUUUGAGACUCAUAGGAAGGACGAUAAGCUUGUCGAACCUGAAACCAACGAAAAAUAUGUAUGUUGAUUGAUAAAUUUCAUUUUACACCCUUUAUUUUAUCAAAGUAUUGCAUUAUUUCAAAGAUUAUAAUCUUUUAGGCUGAAAUUCAAGAAUUGGUGCAAUCCGAGCCGUCUCUUACAAACAUUGAGGUUGUAGAAAGGUGCUUUGGACCUCAAUGCAAGAGCAAUGUGGUUGGAUUUGGAGGCGGGAUAACCGCUAAGGAGUUAAAAGGCGGU